rnacentral:rRNA from 1 species
AUUGAACGCUGGCGGCAGGCCUAACACAUGCAAGUCGAGCGGAGCGGCGGACGGGUGAGUAAUGCCUAGGAAUCUGCCUGGUAGUGGGGGAUAACGUCCGGAAACGGGCGCUAAUACCGCAUACUAUCAGAUGAGCCUAGGUCGGAUUAGCUAGGUGGAGGGGGAAAGGCCUACCAAGGCGACGAUCCGGAACUGGUCUGAGAGGAUGAUCAGUCACUCUGGAACUGAGACACGGUCCCAACUCCUCCGGGAGGCAGCAGUGGGGAAUAUUGGACAAUUGGCGAAAGCCUGAUCAAGCAAUGCCGCGUGUGUGAAGAAGGUCUUCGGAUUGUAAAGCACUUUAAGUUGGGAGGCGUUACCAACAGAAUAAGCACGGGCUAACUUCGUGCCAGCAGCCGCGGUAAUUC